rnacentral:rRNA from 1 species
AGCGGGAUGAAGGGAGCUUGCUCCCUUGAUUCAGCGGCGGGACGGGGUGAGUAAUGCCUAGGAAUCUGCCUGGUAGUGGGGGACAACGUCUCGAAAGGGACGCUAAUACCGCAUACGUCCUACGGGAGAAAGCAGGGGACCUUCGGGCCUUGCGCUAUCAGAUGAGCCUAGGUCGGAUUAGCUAGUUGGUGAGGUAAUGGCUCACCAAGGCGACGAUCCGUAACUGGUCUGAGAGGAUGAUCAGUCACACUGGAACUGAGACACGGUCCAGACUCCUACUGGAGGCAGCAGUGGGGAAUAUUGGACAAUGGGCGAAAGCCUGAUCCAGCCAUGCCGCGUGUGUGAAGAAGGUCUUCGGAUUGUAAAGCACUUUAAGUUGGGAGGAAGGGCAUUAACCUAAUACGUUGGUGUUUUGACGUUACCGACAGAAUAAGCACCGG